rnacentral:sRNA from 1 species
AAGUACUAACCAGGCCCAACCCUGCUUAGCUUCUGAGAUCAGAGGAGAUUGAGCAUGUUCAGGGUGGUGUGGC